UUUUGAAUACAAGAAAAGAAUUGAGAAAGUAAAACAAAAGCAAGGUUAAACCAAAAAUUCGCACAUCAAAAUGUAUACAAACGGAUAUUAUUUCUUAAGUACAUUGGAAAGUAAAAUAAUUUAUAAUUUUAAAAGUUUUAUAAACGAUUUUAAUAUAUUUUUACAUUUUUAAACUUAUAUUUUAUCGCAUUUGUACAUUGGAAUUAUCUUAAUAAUAUGACUUUUUGGUUUGUUUGAUCUCCAUAUAGGUGGAAUAAAAUUGAUACCGCAGCGAUACGUGGUAACUGUAUGAGAGACAUUUAAUUAUUAUAGGAUUUUUUGUAAGGAUUGUUUUGGGUUGUCUGGUCGGGGUGCCAGAGCAGGGUGGACAGGUUUUACAAUACGGCCACUGACAUGGCAGUAAACACCUUAACACACCACGAAGACAACGGAAUAAGAACGUUCUGGGCUUUGGAACGUGACUCCUUGGCUCUUUUACUAGUUCUUCGUCAGAUGAUGCCUUGCUAGCGCCAUAAAUUACCAGGAUUAGAAAGAUAAAUAUUUCAUUCCUCAACUUCAUUUUUUAUAUCGUAUCCAAUUUGACCAGGCCGACACACCACUAUAAAGGAAAUGUACUGCAUAUAUCACCAAAUGCCACUCAAUCGUUGCGGUUGCAAAGACACUAAAAUGUUGAAAAAAGGAAUCGGUAAAAUAUAUAAAUAAUAUCAAAAUGUAUACGAGCGUAUUGGAAGUAAAAUCAUUUAUCAUUACUGAAAUUUCAAACUAUAUUUAAAGUUUUUAUAUCUGUAUUUCAGCCAAUGCCGAUCGAUAUUCUUGAACAUUUAUACUUACGUGCCCGCCUGUUGGUCUCUCUACUUAUUUGUGCCCCUGAAGUCCGCAAUGUUAAUUAAAUUAUAAUUGCGCCUGUCAGUGGCAGCCUCAACUUCACUCGAUUGUGCAAUGACCGAUGACGGCCACAAAGGACAUCAACGACGUCAUCAUUCCAUACUUCCACUGAACUUUGACCCGUCCGCAAUGCUCACUUUUUUCGCCCCUCCGUCAGCGUCUUUGCCCUCGGCUUAUCCCGCCUUUUGUCUGUCUGGGGGCCAUUAGGACGGAAAUUCUGGCUGGCCGCUCAUUAAAAGCCAAGAAGAAAAAACAGCCGAUGGGAAAAGGUACAGGUCGUCGAGGCGCAUGAUUAAGAAGCAAAGAUGUUAAAAGUAAUAUGCUUUUCAAAAAAAAAAACGCCGCUUUGUGCUGGCUCUUUGUUUUGUACUUAAUGAAGAGGAGGUUUGCUAUUUAAAACCAAAAUAAGAAAUACCUAUUUACUUGCAUUAAAUACAUAUUUUAAAAUUAAAUUUUAAUAAUUAAGCGUAAAUUCUGAUAAGCAAAUAGUAGGUUUGUCAAUGUUUUGAAUUAAAAAAAAAAGUUAAUCCGAAAAUAAACCAUUUAAUAACUUAA